AUUUCUACUGGUUGUUUGCAUCAGAUGGAGCUGCUUGUACUUUACAGUAGUGUUGCUUCAUGAGAGAUCUGUGUAGGCCAAAAAAACACCAUUAUUGGGUACCUUUGUUGAUAAUAAGCAGUUGCGAGUGGUGUAUAUCAGGAGAGUGCAGCAUAGUUGGAAUUAAUAAGAGAUCUUACUGAGUUACUUUUCUUUAUCUCGGCCGAGAAACCUGUUAAACUUAGGCUUCUGUGUAUUAGGAACCAGAGUGUUGGUGCCAUAUCUGAAACAAGGGUGGACAUAUACAAGCUAUAGUCUAUAUGAUAUGAUUUAUUGUGGUUGUGGAGGAUACUAUUUGCUGAAUGGAUGAUGUCAAUUUGUUUAUCUAGACCUAAAGUUCAUUUGGUAUAAGCGAUCCUGUUUUCUUUUUUUUUCUUAAGAUCAACAGUAUCUCUCUAAUGUUAUAAGCUUGAACUAUGUUUACCUAGAAAUGUGUGAAUCUGCUACCAUAAAUAUGCCCCUUUCAAUGUAAGAGCCAAGGUUGGAUACAAGCUGCAUUUCGGAUAUACAUUUUGUCUGCCGAAGGUCUACCUUGCUUUUACUGCUAUGUUGAGAAUGGCCUGAGAAUAAUCUGGGAGGUUCUUGCCGUGCUUGGAGUCGAAAAGCUUGAUAAGACCACUACGUUCGGUGCAAGUAGUUCCAGUACUCGUUUGCAGCAGCUUAGCUUCGUAUACUCUGAAUAUGAUAGUAAAAGGCUCUCCCAA
rnacentral:lncRNA from 1 species